rnacentral:lncRNA from 1 species
UCUGUGUGCGGUUUGUGUGGUGCGUGAAAAAUUUUCCCGUUUUGUGUUGGUGGAUAGCGGAAACAUGAAAACUUGUUCAAUCUGAUUGUUAAUUAAUGGAAAAAGUAAAUAAAAGAGCUAUUAUAAGUAAAUCUAAGCGAAAAGUUUAAUACUAUUUCUAAACAUUUUCACUAUAAAGAGGAAAGUUUUUAAUGCUCUCGGUUUUGUGUAAGCGAGCAGAAUUCAGUGUUGUGGAUUUGAGUUUUACAACAAUCGGUUAAUAAAAAGGUAAG